UUUUUUUGUUUCUUGAACACAGAGGAUACUCCGUGGUAAUGAGCCUUCUAAGUGGCUGGAUAGAUUCCAGGAAAAGUCAUCUUUCCGAGUGCCUGUGUACCUGGAGUCUGACGAACAACAGGAUGCCCUUUUCUCAUAUCUUGAGAGAUUUCUGAGAACUGUACAAACAGCAUUCCCUAUUAGAGAUCGUGUGCAGUUCAUUCUGGAUGUCUUAUUCCCUGAGUCCAUCAUCCAUGCCCUGGCUGCUCUACAAGGUGUAUCAGGACAGGAGGCAGAAGAUUUAUUUCUUGGUGGCCCAGAAUACAGUGUCGGUGAAGUGGAAGAAUUUAAUCGAAAGAUAGGGCAGCAAUUAAAGAAGGAGAGAAUGCUGUGAUAUCUGUUGGAAUAGAAGAUGAUGCUACUGCCCAGUGCUUCCAGAAUCCUUCAUUUGAGUCUUGGGUCUGAAUCUACUGCGUCAUUGCCAAGUAUUCUGGGGUAAUGUAUCUUGUUUUGUUUACAUUUUGUUUUUCUCCAUAUUCCAAGCUCAUUUACUUGACCUUAGCUUUAAUAAACUGGAUGGCUGUCUCCUUCACAAUUGAUUUGAAAGUACUUUACUAUUCAUUACAUAAAAAGCUCUGAACAAUUUAGUCCCUUCCUGUAUUUGGUACUGUCUCUCCCCCAACACUCCUCAUUUUAAUCUUUAAUCCACAACCAAUAUUGCCAACUAAUUUGCUUAUGAAAGGACUGGUGAAGCAGCUUGCACAUGUAUACCAAAAAUAUAGAAUGCCAGCUAUAAAUGAAAAACCUAUCAAAAUACUUUUAAAACACCAUUUUUAAACUUCACCUCUGUUUAAUUUCCACUUCUAUCAGUUGUAAUGGUUUAUGACUUGAACUGCAUACACUUUGAAAGAUUUACACUAGAUAAUAACCAUUGUUUUUUUGCUUUUUUUUUUUUUGUCUGGUGAUGCCCUUUGCCA